GUGUUCACCUCGGCAGCACACAUACUAAAAUUGGAAUGGUACACAGAAGAUUAGAAUGGCCCCUGCAUAAGGAUGACAUGCAAUUUGUGAAGCGUUCCAUAUUUUU